ACUACUCAUAUAAAGGCAAAGCUUACUGCUUUAUCCAUUUUGAUUCUAGUAAACGAACUUGGGAACCUUGGCUAAUCACAGAAAUCACCGAGAUGCUAUAGAGCUUGUUAGUUGCUGAAAGCUUCGGCUGCCAAAUCAAGAAACGCACUUUCAUCUAAGGUUGCCAGUGAAAUCAUUGUGUGAGAGAUCAAUGAUUCGCAAACUAGAAAAAGGAGAUAUCCCUUCAGGUUCACCUAUGAAACCAUGGAACCUAUUGGAUCUCAACACCAAGACGUGUAGCUUUGGAAGAGUUUCCAGCCACGGAGGGAAACUAUCAUUUAUCUGAUUGUUUCCAAGAUCAAGCACUUCUAACAUUUUGCAGGUGGACAAAGAUCGAGAUCAAGGGUGAGAUUUCUCUAGUCAAUUUGUUGCUUGAGAUUAAAAGCAUGUACAUGGAAGGAGGUGGAAGCGGAAGAGGUUGAUGAAGUACAUUGAAACUAAGGUCUAGAUAUUGUAAGUUGCUU